rnacentral:rRNA from 1 species
GCCCAGACUCCUACGGGAGGCAGCAGUGGGGGAUAUUGCACAAUGGGGGGAACCCUGAUGCAGCGACGCCGCGUGGGUGAAGAAGCGCCUCGGCGCGUAAAGCCCUGUCAGCAGGGAAGAAAAUGACGGUACCUGACUAAGAAGCCCCGGCUAACUACGUGCCAGCAGCCGCGGUAAUACGUAGGUGGCAAGCGUUGUCCGGAUUUACUGGGUGUAAAGGGCGUGCAGCCGGGCUUACAAGUCAGAUGUGAAAUCCUGCGGCUCAACCGCAGAACUGCAUUUGAAACUGUAGGUCUUGAGUACUGGAGAGGCAGACGGAAUUCCUAGUGUAGCGGUGAAAUGCGUAGAUAUUAGGAGGAACACCAGUGGCGAAGGCGGUCUGCUGGACAGCAACUGACGGUGAGGCGCGAAAGCGUGGGGAGCAAACAGGAUUAGAUACCCGGGUAAC